rnacentral:rRNA from 1 species
AUGAACGCUGGCGGCGUGCCUAAUACCUGCAAGUCGAGCGAACGGACGAGAAGCUUGCUUCUCUGAUGUUAGCGGCGGACGGGUGGGUAACACGUGGAUAACCUACCUAUAAGACUGGGAUAACUUCGGGAAACCGGAGCUAAUACCGGAUGAUAUUUUGAACCGCAUGGUUCAAAAGUGAAAGACGGUCUUGCUGUCACUUAUAGAUGGAUCCGCGCUGCAUUAGCUAGUUGGUAAGGUAACGGCUUACCAAGGCAACGAUGCAUAGCCGACCUGAGAGGGUGAUCGGCCACACUGGAACUGAGACACGGUCCAGACUCCUACGGGAGGCAGCAGUAGGGAAUCUUCCGCAAUGGGCGAAAGCCUGACGGAGCAACGCCGCGUGAGUGAUGAAGGUCUUCGGAUCGUAAAACUCUGUUAUUAGGGAAGAACAUAUGUGUAAGUAACUGUGCACAUCUUGACGGUACCUAAUCAGAAAGCCACGGCUAACUACGUG